rnacentral:rRNA from 1 species
GGUUCGAAAUUGAAAGGCGGCUUCGGCUGUCACUUAUGGAUGGACCCGCGUCGCAUUAGCUAGUUGGUGAGGUAACGGCUCACCAAGGCAACGAUGCGUAGCCGACCUGAGAGGGUGAUCGGCCACACUGGGACUGAGACACGGCCCAGACUCCUACGGGAGGCAGCAGUAGGGAAUCUUCCGCAAUGGACGAAAGUCUGACGGAGCAACGCCGCGUGAGUGAUGAAGGCUUUCGGGUCGUAAAACUCUGUUGUUAGGGAAGAACAAGUGCUAGUUGAAUAAGCUGGCACCUUGACGGUACCUAACCAGAAAGCCACGGCUAACUACGUGCCAGCAGCCGCGGUAAUACGUAGGUGGCAAGCGUUAUCCGGAAUUAUUGGGCGUAAAGCGCGCGCAGGUGGUUUCUUAAGUCUGAUGUGAAAGCCCACGGCUCAACCGUGGAGGGUCAUUGGAAACUGGGAGACUUGAGUGCAGAAGAGGAAAGUGGAAUUCCAUGUGUAGCGGUGAAAUGCGUAGAGAUAUGGAGGAACACCAGUGGCGAAGGCGACUUUCUGGUCUGU